UGUCUGGUCUGUGGGGUGUGUGUGUCUAUGUGUGAAGUGACUGGUCUAUGUUGUGUGUGUGUGUGUGUUGACUGGUCUAUGGUGUGUGUGUGUGUGUGUGUGUGUGAUGUCCAGUCUGUGGGUGUGUUUGUGAGAGCGUGUGAACAAGGGGGGGGUCAAGGCGUCUCCUCCUCACUCCCGGGGUGGGGGCCGCGCCCGAGGAACAAGGCGACUCACUG